ACUGCUGCUUUAAAACCCCCUUCAUAACUCUCCUGCUCCACAUUUUCAAAGGUUUAACAUGAAGAGAAGUUUUGCUUCAAGUCUUUCGUGGAAACCUCCAUGGAAAGGUUGUUUGUAGCAAGCUCGCUGCUCUCAGGGAUCCUGCUUUGAUGGAUUAUAAAUAGAGAAGGCAUAUAAUGGAACUACUGUCCCUGCAUGGACAAAAGGAACUGGUUUACAGGUGUGACCGCGACAGCAAUGCAUCAUGGAGCAAGCAGAGGUGAACCUUUGACUGAUCCUUAACCUGCUGGUGCCUUGAUCCUGGACUUGUCAACUCCCAGAACUGUGGAAAAUAAGUGCUUAUCAUUUAAUCUGUUACCCAGUCUCUAGAACUAUGAUAUAACUUUGACAGCCUACCUAACUCAUUAAGA
rnacentral:lncRNA from 1 species